rnacentral:tRNA from 1 species
GAUUCGUUAGCUCAGUUGGUAGAGCAACGCCCUUUUAAGGCGUGGGUCCUGGGUUCGAGCCCCAGACGAAUCA